rnacentral:misc_RNA from 1 species
UUUCCGUAGGUGAACCUGCGGAAGGAUCAUUAAAGAGAAUAUGCCCUUCGGGGUAGACUUCCCACCCAUUGAUUAUAUUAUCUUUGUUGCUUUGUCAGCCCCGUUUUCUUACCACCUGCUUCGGGUGGUCAGUGCUUGCCAGAGUACACAAUUCGCUUUUUUUUAAUGUCAUUUGUGUACUAUAUAAUAGUUAAAACUUUCAACAACGGAUCACUUGGUUCUG